rnacentral:lncRNA from 1 species
UAUGUUUAAGUUAUUUUAUAACUGAAAUGAUAUUAUUCUAAUAUUGGAGAUCUAUAUUAUUAAUAUUAGGUCUUCAAGAGAAGCGUAUUAUAUUGCGUUACGGUAAUCAACGGUUCAGGCAAGUUUUUCUUUUUACUUAAACUCUUUAAGAGUGGUUUCAGAUAGAUAUGCUUAUGAAUUGUACUCUGUACAUCUUGUAUAUAUAAGUCGGGUAUGAAAGGCUGAUCACCUUCAUUACCAGUUGGUCCAGAUAUAUUAUUGUUCCUGUUCAAUACGUGUUCAGUCAAAAUUUUGUUCAUGCUAAUUCACGAAUACAUUGUGAAGGAUAGCCAACUUAUUAUUCAAACUCUUUCAUGAUAUAUCUUUACCUUAUUUUUAAACUUGUUGGGCAACUUUCAUGCUCACCCUUGCUAUAUCAUGAUAAAACAUUGCAGAUAAGGCGAAUACGG